CGGACAUACUCUGGAGAGUGCCAUUUUGGCCGCCGAAGGUGUAAGGAUUGAGAUCCAAAUCUCUCAGGCAAAAGGACAGAGCAAAAGAC
rfam:Dialister invisus CAG:218 genomic scaffold, scf13